GGACCCGUAGCCUAGCGGAUAGGGCACUUCCCUCCUAAGGAAGGGGUCGUGGGUUCGAUUCCCACCGGGUCCG
rnacentral:tRNA from 1 species